rnacentral:lncRNA from 1 species
GGAUGUCUCCACCUCAUCUAGCAUGGCCUCACUCGAUUGCUGCUCAGAGCCAGAUGGCAGUGAAAAUCUACACCCAGGCUUCUUAGACCCUGGUGGUCUUGAUCUCUUAGGUGAAAUCUUUGAGACCCUAAACUUUCUGGAACCUAACCAAGCAGGACAGCCACUCUACUCCACCCGCAGCCUGGACUUCUGUAACUUAGAGGAAAGGAAUUUCUAUACUAAGCUGAGGACCAGCAGAGAGACCCUCUAUGAACCUCUGUCUGAGGAACAAGAUGAUGGGGACUUCUUAUCUGAGGAGAAGAUGCCCUUGAGCUCUCUGGAGCAAGAGACUAUGCAGAGUGCUUUGCUGCCCACCACCACCACACCUGUAGACCAAAGCAAUGUCAUGCAGGACUGCAGAAACCUGGAGCCCCAAGAAAGUGCUUGUCCCAAGAAGGCAAUAGUUCCCUUGCUGCAGGAGGAGGAGGAGAAGGAAGAGAUGGCUGAACCUGCUAGUUGUGAGCAACCACAAGUGUCAUGGACCCUAAAGGUAGAUCAUGAGACUGCCAUCCCUACUGCCAACAGAACAGAAUGUGGCACUGAUAUGGCAUCUGGGGAGGAAACGGGGGUUGUCCAGGUCCAUGAUCCCCCUCCAGCCAUCCCCACCACGAAAGCAGAGCCACCAGCCACCAGUUGCUCAAACACUCCAUCACCUGUGCUAUCAUUCGGGUCGAAAGUCAAUGGAAACCCUGUUGUCACACCCAAGGAGACCUUCCCUGUCCUUGGGCAGGUCACCAACGCACAGUCCCCCUUGAAGUCCAGAUCCAUGCCCAGGGUAUCAGAGCUCAAGAAAAGAUUUGAGGCCUAAAAGAUAAUACAGGCAGUGACUUCCUAAGUUUAGCUUUUGGAACUGAACGUGUAGCUUCUGUAACCAGUGGAAAAUUUGUUGUAAGUCCCUCCUCUGGAGCUGUGGGGCACCUUUGAAAAGCUCUGGUGGAAGCCCUCUGUCUCUCCAAGCCAAAUUGUGAUGGAUAGAAGCAGAAGUGGCUUCCAUUAAUAGCUUAAAGGGUAGGGCUGCUUCCUUGCUGUUGUAUUCAGCUGGCAGGUGUUCCCCCACCCCAAAUUAGGAGGCAGCUCAUGUAUUCAGAUGAAUUUACUGCACUAGGCAAGCUUCUUUCCUCAACUAAGCACAGAAAGCUUGUUUCUUAGCUAUUUUCACCCAAUGUGGGAAUUACGUAAAAACCCUAUCAGGGCAUGCAUGCAAUGUAAGAAUGAGGAGCAAUCACCAGGCUGAUUCACAGAUGCAUCUUCAUCUUUUGAUGGCUAUACCAUCAGGUGAUGAGUCUGCAUGUGUGUGUUUGUGUGUGUGAAUCAGCUACUAUUCAGGAAUGAACAUAAAUAAAAACAAAGAAUGUCAACUGAAACUACCA